GUCUUGUAAUUGGAAUGAUGGUGACCCAAACCCUCACCAGAGUAGCAAUUGGAGGGCAAGUCUGGUGCCAGCAGCCGCGGUAAUUCCAGCUCCAAUAGCGUAUAUUAAACUUGUUGCAGUUAAAAAGCUCGUAGUUGAAUUUUAGCGUGUUCGAGUUUGCCAUUCGUUUGGCUUUUUCGAGUUCGCUUUUGGGUUUUCCCUUUUUACUUUGAGAAAAUUAGAGUGUUUCAAGCAGACUUUUGUCUUGAAUACUUCAGCAUGGAAUAAUAGAGUAGGACUUUGGUUCUAUUUUGUUGGUUAUUGAACCUUAGUAAUGGUUAAUAGGAACGGUUGGGGGCAUUCGUAUUUAACUGUCAGAGGUGAAAUUCUUAGAUUUGUUAAAGACGAACUACUGCGAAAGCAUUUGCCAAGGACGUUUCCAUUAAUCAAGAACGAAAGUUAGGGGAUCGAAGACGAUCAGAUACCGUCGUAGUCCUAACCAUAAACCAUGCCGACUAGUGAUUGGAGGUCGUCGUUUUGCUGACCCCUUCAGGAACUUGAGAGAAAUCAAAGUCUUUGG
rnacentral:rRNA from 1 species